UAUGGCCACAUCACGUUGAAACACCGGUACACAUGCGAUCACUAAAGUUAAGCAACGUCAAGCCUGGUCAGUAUCUAGAUUGGUGACGGCUUGGGGAUCCCAAGUACUGUAA